rnacentral:lncRNA from 1 species
CAAGUUAUAAGCUUCUAGAAGACGAGGACAUGUUAUAAGCAUUUUAAUGUCACAAGUGAUCACACGCUGGAAGACAUGUCAACCUACCUGGACACAUUAUUCUACCAAUUUAUAAGUCAUUGGUUUGACCAACCGGGGUUCGAACCCAUGACCUACCGCACUAGAAUCAACGGAACACGCUAGCAUACAACCAGACAAUGCUGAUCAUAAUCAGAAAAAGAAACACGAC